rnacentral:rRNA from 1 species
AUUGAACGCUGGCGGCAGGCCUAACACAUGCAAGUCGAGCGAGCGGCGGACGGGUGAGUAAUGUAUGGGGACUGCCCGCUAGAGGGGGAUAACUACUGGAAACGGUGGCUAAUACCGCAUACGGUCGGAUAACCCAUCUGGGCUUAGCUAGUAGGUAAGGUAAGGGCUUACCUAGGCGACGAUCCCUAGCUGGUCUGAGAGGCUGAUCCGCCACACUGGGACUGUGACACGGCCCAGACUCCUACGGAGGCAGCAGUGGGGAAUAUUGCACAAUGGGCGCAAGCCUGAUGCAGCCAUGCCGCGUGUAUGAAGAAGGCCCUAGGGUUGUAAAGUACGUUCAGUCGGGAGGCGUUACCGACAGAAGAAGCACCGGCUAACUCCGUGCCAGCAGCCGCGGUAAUAC